rnacentral:lncRNA from 1 species
UGUUUGAUUUGCUUUCUCUCUCAUACCCAAUGUGUUGUAGUCACAAAGAAGUUGUGCUUGUCUCUCCACCCUGUAUACAUACAAGUGCUUGCAGUCGUAGGCUCACAGUGGUACAAAGACAGACCAUGUAUUGAAACCCACACUUUCCUUCUACACCCGAGUGUGAGUUCCUACCAAGGAACAAGCGCAGAGUUCAGUCCUGCCCUAAAUGAAGCAUUACAGCUGUUGCUUCAGUACAGUGGGUAUUGAAUUUCACAGGCUGUGUCAUCUGCGACUGCACUCUUUGGCUUGGGGUAUGGCAACAAGCCUCACCGGGGCUCAGCCACUCCCUUUCUGACUGUAGAGAAACGCCCCAGUCUACAUAGAAGGAAAAUUGUUUUGCUGGAUUUCUGCACUGCCCUUAUUCCAAAUGCAAUAGAGAGUGAGAAAGAGCGAGAGCUUGGGGGGGCAGGCUCUGGAUUGGUGUUCUGGGCUAUUUCAACUUCAGGGCAACUUUUGAGAACUUCAGUUAUUUUUGGUUCUGGCAUACAGCUGAGACCAGGGGAGCCUGAGGUUGAUGCUGAUGCAGAAGAAGACGAUUCUGUCAAUGAAGUGACAAUAGAAAACAUACGGCCAAGGCCACAAGGAUCCUCUCCAGUUUAUGAGUAUUCCAUAGAAGAAGAAUAUUUUAACAAAAAGCUACAAGAAGAUACAGAGAACGAAAAAU